rnacentral:rRNA from 1 species
GCGGAUCCCCUUCGGGGGUGAAGCUUGUGGAACGAGCGGCGGACGGGUGAGUAACACGUGGGCAACCUGCCUGUAAGACCGGAAUAACCCCGGGAAACCGGGGCUAAUGCCGGGUAACACCUACCUUCACCUGAAGGAAGGUUGAAAGAUGGCUUCUCGCUAUCACUUACAGAUGGGCCCGCGGCGCAUUAGCUAGUUGGUGAGGUAAUAGCUCACCAAGGCGACGAUGCGUAGCCGACCUGAGAGGGUGAUCGGCCACACUGGGACUGAGACACGGCCCAGACUCCUACGGGAGGCAGCAGUAGGGAAUCUUCCGCAAUGGACGAAAGUCUGACGGAGCAACGCCGCGUGAACGAUGAAGGUCUUCGGAUCGUAAAGUUCUGUUGUUAGGGAAGAACAAGUACCGUACGAAUAGAGCGGUACCUUGACGGUACCUAACGAGGAAGCCCCGGCUAACUACGUGCCAGCAGCCGCGGUAAUACGUAGGGGGCAAGCGUUGUCCGGAAUUAUUGGGCGUAAAGCGCGCGCAGGUGGUUUCUUAAGUCUGAUGUGAAAGCCCACGGCUCAACCGUGGAGGGUCAUUGGAAACUGGGGAACUUGAGGACAGAAGAGGAGAGUGGAAUUCCACGUGUAGCGGUGAAAUGCGUAGAUAUGUGGAGGAACACCAGUGGCGAACGCGACUCUCUGGUCUGUUUCUGACGCUGAUGUGCGAAAGCGUGGGUAGCAAACAGGAUUAGAUACCCUGGUAGUCCACGCCGUAAACGAUGAGUGCUAGUGUUAGGGGGCUUCCACCCCUUAGUGCUGAAGUUAACGCAUUAAGCACUCCGCCUGGGGAGUACGGCCGCAGGCUGAAACUCAAAGGAAUUGACGG